rnacentral:rRNA from 1 species
UGAAUGAACUAGCAUGCGAGUCAUUGUAGCAUACAAGGCAUACGGCUCAGUAACGCGUAGUCAACCUAACCUAUGGACGGGAAUAACCUCGGGAAACUGAGAAUAAUGCCCGAUAGAACACUAUACCUGGAAUGGUUUGUGUUCCAAAUGAUUUAUCGCCAUAGGAUGGGACUGCGGCCUAUCAGUUUGUUGGUGAGGUAAUGGCCCACCAAGACUAUUACAGGUACGGGCUCUGAGAGGAGUAGCCCGGAGAUGGGUACUGAGACACGGACCCAGGCCCUAUGGGGCGCAGCAGGCGAGAAAACUUUGCAAUGUGCGAAAGCACGACAAGGUUAAUCCGAGUGAUUUGUGCUAAACGAAUCUUUUGUUAGUCCUAGAAACACUAACGAAUAAGGGGUGGGCAAGUUCUGGUGUCAGCCGCCGCGGUAAAACCAGCACCUCAAGUGGUCAGGAUGAUUAUUGGGCCUAAAGCAUCCGUAGCCGGCUCUGUAAGUUUUCGGUUAAAUCUGUACGCUUAACGUACAGGCUGCCGGGAAUACUGCAGAGCUAGGGAGUGGGAGAGGUAGACGGUACUCGGUAGGAAGUGGUAAAAUGCUUUGAUCUAUCGAUGACCACCUGUGGCGAAAGGCGGUCUACCAGAACACGUCCGACGGUGAGGGAUGAAAGCUGGGGGAGCAACCGGAUUAGAUACCCGGGUUAGUCCAGCUGUAACUAUGCAACUCAUGAUGCAUGGUCUUGUGUAAUGCCAUUGCCUGCCAAGGAAAGGACCGGAUUAAGCCUUG